rnacentral:rRNA from 1 species
UACGGGGGGGGCUAGCGUUGUUCGGAAUUACUGGGCGUAAAGGGCGCGUAGGCGGUCUACUAAGUUGGAUGUGAAAACUCUGGGCUUAACCCAGAGCCUGCAUUCAAAACUGAUAGGCUAGAGUUCUGGAGGGGAUAGCGGAAUUCCUGGUGUAGCGGUGAAAUGCGUAGAUAUCAGGAGGAACACCGGUGGCGAAGGCGGCUAUCUGGACAGAAACUGACGCUGAGGAACGAAAGCGUGGGGAGCGAACAGG